UUUUCUAAUCAGUGAAACUAAUCUUCCCGUGAAGAAGCGGGAAUAUCCCCAUAAGACGAGAAGACCCCAUGGAGCUUCAAACCCAAUUACACCCCUAACCCCUAUAACUACUUAACCCUUAGGAUUCUGUAUUAUUGGUUUUAGGUUGGGGCGACCACGGAGUACAACAAAACCUCCACAAUGAACGGAACUACUUCCUCAUCUGAGAGCUACACCUCUAAGAAUUAAAAUAUUAACAUAAAAUGAUCCAUUUUUGAUCAAUGAACCAAGUUACCCUGGGGAUAACAGCGCAAUCCAUUUCAAGAGCCCCUAUCGACAAAUGGGUUUACGACCUCGAUGUUGGAUCAGGGUAUCCUGGUGGUGCAGCAGCUACUAAAGGUUCGUUUGUUCAACGAUCAAAACCCU
rnacentral:rRNA from 1 species